AGCUUCAUCCAAGAUGAAGUGGGAAGCCCCUUGCAGACAAGUGGACACUGUGAGUGCAAGGUCAGCGGGAAGACAGGAACCGGCUCCACCAGAACGGGCAGCAGCACACUGCCCCCAGGAGCCAGCAAAACAAAGGCAGAAGACGUGAAGAGAGUCCGGGAAACGGGGCUACACCUGAUGCGUCGAGCGCUGGCUGUGCUCCAGAUCUUCGCUGUUAGCCAG